rnacentral:misc_RNA from 1 species
UCCUUCAGCGUAGGUACAAACUCCCGAAAAGAGCACGAGUUUUUUAGUGCGUCAAGUGCAGGUACAGAACUCUUGUUCACUGAGGACACAGAGGGACAGUGAACUGCUUGGAGAAUGUUAAAGACUUCUGAGCAAUUGUCAUCCAGGUUUUCUUUUGAAUUUGUUUGCCUCUCAUCUCCAUUGGGUUUCUCAGGAAGUGGUUCUUUCUCC